rnacentral:sRNA from 1 species
AAGGCAUUUACAGCAUGAUGUCCAAUAUCCAUUGAGUUUGUUUCAUGCAUUCAUUGUAUUCAUAGUCUGCUUUAGGUACUUAGCAAAAUAUUGCUGAUAUUAACAUGCCUUUGUUUGCUUCACUGGAGAUGAAAUUGUGCUCCAAGUGUUUUCCAAGGUUCCGUAUGACCCAUCAUUUGAUGAAACAAGAACAGCAGUCAGAUCCAUUACAAAGAGAGACACACAAAAAAGCUCUUCCCAACAAAAGAGCUUGAACAAUGCUGCAUUUGCCUCAGGUUCAAAUGAGCGAGAGGAACAUUUGGCUAAAAUAUUUGAUGAAAUUCUACUGCAGGUGUUUCCAAAGUUUCCGUAUGACCCAUCAUUUAACGAAGCAACAGCAGUCAGAUCCAUUACAAAGACAGACAUGAGAAAAGGAACCAGCGUUGCUUGGAAUUCUCCUAAACCAGAAUAUUUCCUUGGCAGUGUGGACAAAAUUCCUGAUAAAGAGAUGGGGUUUCACUGUGUUAGCCAGGAUGGUCUCGAUCUCCUGACCUCAUGAUCCGCCCGCCUCGGCCUCCCAAAGUGCUGGGAUUACAGGCGUGAACCACCAUGCCCGGCCCAGAAUGUCCUUUCUUUUC